UAUUGGUAGUGUGACCUGCUUGGGUUUG
rnacentral:piRNA from 1 species